UGCCGAAUGGCGUGAGAUCAAGGCCGCAUCCGAAGUGAAUGGCCCGCUGCUGAAAAAUCAGACGGUUUCCGUGUUGUCGCCGGCGAUUGCCGGUCUGCUGUGGGGUUAGCCACUCCCGCAUCGUGAUGCCGUGACUACAGCAUCAGCGUGAAAGAAAGCCGAUGAAGCCAGCUCCCUUUGAAUAUGUCAGGCCGGGGUCGAUUGCCGAAGCCUGCGAACUGCUC
rnacentral:misc_RNA from 1 species